GACAGAGAAGCUCAAGAUGUCCAGCAGAGGGAGCAGUUACUGCAUGAGAUCAGGAGACUACAGCAGCUAAACACUAAGCUGAGAGACAGUUUAGAGGAAACCAGUCGUCAGGCAGCGGAGGAGGUGGAGCUGGCAGACCGACACAAACAUCAGAUGAUUGCGCUCAUCACACAGAGUGAGUACACACACACACACACACACACACACACACACACACACACACACACACACACACACACACACACACACACACACACACACACGUAGCCACGUCCUCUGUGUCCAUCUUUCCUCUAUCUAUCUCUCUCCAUAACGCUUCAAUAUCUCUAUCUCCAUCUCUCUCUCUCUCUCUCUCCAUAAUGCUCCCAUAUCUCUCUCUCUCUCUGUGUCUCUCUUUCUCCAUAACGCUCCCAUAUCUCUCUCUCUCCGUCUCUCGUUAUACAUAACGCUCCAAUAUCUCUCUCUCCAUCUCUCUCUUGUUCUCAAUCUCUCUGUCGUACUCUGUAUCUCUCCAUCUGUCCCUCUCCUUUAGUCUCUCUAGCUUACUCUCUCUGUCUAUUUCUUUCCAUGUAUCACUCUCCAUCUCUCUCUCUCCCUGUGUGUGUUCAGAUGAGGUGCAGCAGCAGGAGUGCGUGUGUCUGCAGAGACAGCUGCGUCAGCUGCGCGUGCGCUGGCACGAGCUGCGCAUGCAUGCAUCUAGACUGGAGCGCGCUCUGGGCACGUCAGAGCAGCGCAGCAAGAUGCUGCACAGGGACCUGCAGACUCAGCAGGCAUGCGCAGACACCGCGCAGCAGCUGCAGGGCGUGCUGUCCCGUCUGCAGGAUACCUGCGCACGCAGAGAGGAGAUGGAAUCGGAACUGCGCACACGACUGCAACAGCAGCUCAGACACGCAUCUGGCAGCUCAUCUCCACUGGGCCUGUCCCCAGAUGACCAAGUGGACCCGGGUUUGGAGAGCAGGUUGGCUGUGAUGACCGCUCUAGUUCAUCAGAAGAAUGAGGUCAUUCGCCACCUUCAGCAGAGGCUCAGAAAGCUGCAGAAUCAGGAGAGUGUCACCGCUAUCAAUGGCAACCAGCCCAUAAUAUCUACUCAAAACAC
rnacentral:lncRNA from 1 species